rnacentral:rRNA from 1 species
UACGAAGGGGGCUAGUGUUGCUCGGAAUUACUGGGCGUAAAGCGCACGUAGGCGGCUCUUUAAGUCGGGGGUGAAAUCCUGGAGCUCAACUCCAGAACUGCCUUUGAUACUGAAGAUCUUGAGUCCGGGAGAGGUGAGUGGAAUUCCUGGUGUAGCGGUGAAAUGCGUAGAUAUCAGGAGGAACACCUGUGGUGUAGACAGCUUACUGGACCACUUCUGACGCUGAGACACGAAAGCGUGGGUAGCAAGCAGG